ACGUUCGGAUUGCAGCCUGCAACUCGGCUGCAUGAAGCUGGAAUCGCUAGUAAUCGCGGAUCAGAAUGCCGCGGUGAAUACGUUCCCGGGUCUUGUACACACCGCCCGUCACACCAUGGGAGCCGGGAAUGCCCGAAGUCAGUGGCCCAACCGCAGGGAGGGAGCUGCCGAAGGCAGGCCUGGUGACUGGGGUGAAGUCGUAACAAGGUACC
rnacentral:rRNA from 1 species